rnacentral:rRNA from 1 species
GUGUCAGCCGCCGCGGUAAUACGGGGGGGGCUAGCGUUGUUCGGAAUUACUGGGCGUAAAGGGCUAGUAGGCGGCCUUCUAAGUCGGACGUGAAAUCCCUCGGCUCAACCGGGGAACUGCGUCCGAUACUGGGGGGCUCGAAUCCGGGAGAGGGAUGCGGAAUUCCAGGUGUAGCGGUGAAAUGCGUAGAUAUCUGGAGGAACACCGGUGGCGAAGGCGGCAUCCUGGACCGGUAUUGACGCUGAAUAGCGAAAGCCAGGGGAGCAAACGGGAUUAGAUACCCUUGUAGUCC